GACGUGGGGGGCGAGCGUUGUCCGGAAUUACUGGGCGUCAAGCGCGCGUAGGCGGGCUGGCAGGCGGCGUGUGGAAGGCGGGGGGCUCAACCCCUGAUCGCGCGCCGAACCGCCCAGUCUUUGGGACGGCGAGGGGCAGGUGGAAUGGUCGGAGGAGCGGUGAAAUGCGUAGAGCCCGAUCGGAACACCGGUGGCGAAGGCGGCCUCUGGAGCCGGGCCGACGCUGAGGCGCGAGAGCGCGGGGAGCGAACGGG
rnacentral:rRNA from 1 species